CAAUAGCGUAUAUUAAAGUUGUUGCGGUUAAAAAGCUCGUAGUUGGAGUUCUGCCAGGUGCCGCCUGUCCGCCCCAGUGGUGAGUACGUGGCGCGCAUUUGGCCCUUUCAAGGGGAGCGUAUCUGCACUUUAUUGUGUGGUGCGGGAUCCUUGACUUUUACUUUGAGGAAAUAGGAGUGUUCCAAGCAGGCUCUCGUCGUGCACAGCUCAGCAUGGAAUAAUAGCAUUGGACCUCGAUUCUAAGCUGUUGGUUGCCAGAAGCGAGGUAAUGAUGAAGAGGGAUAGUUGGGGGCAUUCGUAUUUAACUGUCAGAGGUGGAAUUCUUGGAUUUGUUAAAGACGGACUACUGCGAAAGCAUCUGCCAUGGAUGUUUUCAUUGA
rnacentral:rRNA from 1 species